AGGGAGAAUCCAUACUAUAACAAGAAACAAAACAAACUUCAGGACCAAAAUUCCCUAAAGGGAAAGAGGCAGACUGACCAGAAAAAAGUCCAACAAUGAGCAAGAAUCAGCAAACCUACCUUAAGAGCAGAGCAACCACUAUGCAGCCAGAAAGCAAACAGAAGCUGAGCCAGACUGGUAUUCCAAGCUGUAGAGAGAAAUCCGAAGAAAGGGCAGCAUGAACAGCACUAAGGGGGCUGAAUUAAUCCCCUUAAAUAGGUCCGGGCGGCGAACAGCUGACCGCCCGGUUCGCGCAUGCGCAG